rnacentral:rRNA from 1 species
UACAGAGGGCUCAAGCGUUGUUCGGAUUUACUGGGCGUAAAGGGCGCGUAGGCGGUCAGCACAAGUCAGUUGUGAAAUCUCCGGGCUUAACUCGGAAAGGUCAACUGAUACUGUGCGACUAGAGUGCAGAAGGGGCAACUGGAAUUCUCGGUGUAGCGGUGAAAUGCGUAGAUAUCGAGAGGAACACCUGCGGCGAAGGCGGGUUGCUGGGCUGACACUGACGCUGAGGCGCGAAAGCCAGGGGAGCGAACGGG